rnacentral:rRNA from 1 species
GUGGGGAAUAUUGGACAAUGGGGGCAACCCUGAUCCAGCGAUGCCGCGUGUGUGAAGAAGGCCUGCGGGUUGUAAAGCACUUUAGUUGGGGAGGAGAAGGAGCGGAUGAAUAAUUCGUUCUGUAGACGUUACCCAAAGAAUAAGCACCGGCAAACUCUGUGCCAGCAGCCGCGGUAAUACAGAGGGUGCAAGCGUUAAUCGGACUUACUGGGCGUAAAGGGCACGUAGGCGGUUGAUUGAGUCAGUUGUGAAAUCCCCGGGCUUAACCUGGGAACAGCAAAUGAUACUGGUUGACUAGAGUCGAAUAGAGGGGAGCGGAAUUUCCGGUGUAGCGGUGAAAUGCGUAGAUAUCGGAAGGAACAUCAGUGGCGAAGGCGGCUCCCUGGGUUCAGACUGACGCUGAGGUGCGAAAGCGUGGGUAGCGAACAGGAUUAGAAACCCCAGUAGUCC